GCAUUGGUGGUUCAUUGGUAGAAUUUUUGCCUUCCAGGAGGGAGACCAGGGUUUGAUUCUCAGCCAGUGCA
rnacentral:tRNA from 1 species